AUUGAACGCUGGCGGCAUGCCUUACACAUGCAAGUCGAACGGCAGCACGGGAGCAAUCCUGGUGGCGAGUGGCGAACGGGUGAGUAAUGUAUCGGAACGUACCUUUCAGUGGGGGAUAACGUAGCGAAAGUUACGCUAAUACCGCAUAUUCUGUGAGCAGGAAAGCAGGGGAUCGCAAGACCUUGCGCUGAUUGAGCGGCCGAUAUCAGAUUAGCCAGUUGGUGAGGUAAAGGCUCACCAAGGCGACGAUCUGUAGCGGGUCUGAGAGGAUGAUCCGCUACACUGGAACUGAGACACGGUCCAGACUCCUACGGGAGGCAGCAGUGGGGAAUUUUGGACAAUGGGCGCAAGCCUGAUCCAGCCAUGCCGCGUGAGUGAAGAAGGCCUCGG
rnacentral:rRNA from 1 species